AGAGUAUAGGGUUUGAUAAGCAACAACAGAGCGGGAGAGAUGUAUAACUAGAGACUAGGAAGAGCUUAAAAGAGAUAUCAAAAAGAAGAUGAAAUUAUUUGGAGUUGUUGAUGAUGGUGAAUAUUUGUGUGCGUGAUGUUGGAAAACUUAACUAGUUAAGUUACUCUUUAUUAACAACGAACGAUCUAAUAGACGAACCAGUGGAUCGUGGAUCUCGAGGUAAUGCAUGGCUUGUCAUCAAAAUAGUUUUCAGUAAUCAGAAGAAAUGGAGCGCUCGAAGAUAUCCGUUUUGUAGCUUAGAGAUUUAUCGAAUCUAGUUUUGUUGUGCAUCUUCUACUACAUGUAUUAUUUCUUGUUUUGUAAACAACACAUUAAUAUAUCCUUAGAA